rnacentral:rRNA from 1 species
AACCUCCGCAAUGUGAGAAAUCGCGACGGGGGGAUCCCAAGUGCCAUUCUUAACGGGAUGGCUUUUCAUUAGUGUAAAGAGCUUUUGGAAUAAGAGCUGGGCAAGACCGGUGCCAGCCGCCGCGGUAACACCGGCAGCUCUAGUGGUAACAAUUUUUAUUGGGCCUAAAGCGUCCGUAGCCGGUUUAAUAAGUCUCUGGUGAAAUCCUGUAGCUUAACUGUGGGAAUUGCUGGAGAUACUAUUAGACUUGAGACCGGGAGAGGUUAGAGGUACUCCCAGGGUAGAGGUGAAAUUCUGUAAUCCUGGGAGGACCGCCUGUUGCGAAGGCGUCUAACUGGAACGGUUCUGACGGUGAGGGACGAAAGUUAGGGGCGCGAACCGGAUUAGAUACCCGGGUAGUCCUAACUGUAAACGAUGCGGACUUGGUGUUGGGGUGGCUUUGAGCUGCUCCAGUGCCGAAGGGAAGCUGUUAAGUCCGCCGCCUGGGAAGUACGGUCGCAAGACUGAAACUUAAGGAAUU